rnacentral:rRNA from 1 species
GAUUAACGCUGGCGGCGUGCCUAACACAUGCAAGUCGAACGAGGUAGCAAUACCUAGUGGCAGACGGGUGAGUAACGCGUGGUCAACCUACCGUUGAGUGGGGGAUAACUAGCCGAAAGGUUAGCUAAUACCGCAUACGUCUCCGAGGGGCAUCCCUUGGCGAUAAAAGGAGCAAUCCGCUCGAUGACGGGACCGCGUCCCAUUAGCUAGAUGGUGGGGUAACGGCCUACCAUGGCACCGAUGGGUAGCUGGUUUGAGAGAGCGACCAGCCACACUGGGACUGAGACACGGCCCAGACUCCUACGGGAGGGCAGCAGUGGGAAUAUUGCGCAAUGGGCGAAAGCCUGACGCAGCGACGCCGCGUGUGGGAUGACGGCC